rnacentral:rRNA from 1 species
UUAAGCUAUAAAGAGCGCAGGGUGGAUGCCUUGGCACUAAGAGCCGAUGAAAGACGUGAUAAGCUGCGAAAAGCUUCGGGGAGGAGCAAAUAUCCUUUGAUCCGGAGAUAUCUGAAUGGGGAAACCUGGCUGAGCAAACCUCAGUCGGCGUAUGGUGAAUACAUAGCCAUACGUUGGGAACCCGCUGAACUGAAACAUCUAAGUAGGCGGAGGAAAAGAAAGAAAACUCGAUUUCCAAAGUAGCGGCGAGCGAAAUGGAAGGAGCCUAAACCGGCGUGCGUGCAUGCCGGGGUUAUGGACUGCAACAAGUGACUCGUAUGGUAACAGAACGGCCCUGGAAAGACCGGCCACAAAAGGGGAAAGCCCCGUAUGUGAAACCAGAAGAGAGCGAGCAGAUUCCAAAGUACCACGAGACACGAGAAACCUUGUGGGAAUUCGGGGGGACCACCCCCCAAGGCUAAAUACUCCUUAGUGACCGAUAGCGCAUAGUACUGUGAAGGAAAGGUGAAAAGGACCCCGGGAGGGGAGUGAAAAAGAACCUGAAACCCUGUGUUUACAAGCUGUGGAACCACAUUUUAGGUGGAACCGCGUACUUUUUGUAGAACGGUCCGGCGAGUUGCCGGGACUGGCAAGGUUAAGCACUUAAGGUGUGGAGCCGAAGGGAAACCAAGUCUUAAUAGGGCGAAUAAGUCAGUUCAGGCAGACCCGAAACCGGGUGAUCUACCCAUGUNNNNNNNNNNGAAGGUGUGGAGCCGAAGGGAAACCAAGUCUUAAUAGGGCGCAGAGUCAGUUCAGGCAGACCCGAAACCGGGUGAUCUACCCAUGUCCAGGUUGAAGUUUCCGUAAAAGGAAAUGGAGGACCGAACGCACAUCCGUUGAAAAGGGUGGCGAUGAGGUGUGGGUAGGGGAGAAAUUCCAAUCGAACCCGGAGAUAGCUGGUUCUCCUCGAAAUAGCUUUAGGGCUAGCCUCGUAUUAGUUUAGCGGAGGUAGAGCACUGAAUUCUUAAGGGGGCGUCAAAGCUUACCAAGAGAUAUCAAACUCCGAAUGCCGCAUAAAUGAUGUACGGGAGUCAGACUGCACGAGAUAAGUUGGGUAGUCAAAAGGGAAAGAGCCCAGACCUACAGCUAAGGUCCCAAAGUGUGUGUUAAGUGGAAAAGGAUGUGGGAUUUCAAAGACAACUAGGAUGUUGGCUCAGAAGCAGCCACACAUUCAAAGAGUGCGUAAUAGCUCACUAGUCGAGAGGUCCUGCGCCGAAAAUGUCCGGGGCUGAAACACAACACCGAAGCUUAGGAAUUGACGUAAGUCAAUUGGUAGAGGAGCAUUCUUAACUGCGGAGAAGCGUUACCGUAAGGAGGCGUGGAGUGUUAAGAAGAGAGAAUGCCGGAAUGAGUAGCGAGAUGGAGGUGGGAAUCCUCCAGGCCGAAUAUCUAAGGUUUCCAGAGUAAAGCUGAUCUGCUCUGGGUAAGUCGGGGCCUAAGGCGAGGUCGAAAGACGUAGUCGAUGGACAACAGGUUGAAAUUCCUGUACCGCGUAUUAUCAGAACUGUGGGGACACAGAACCGAAGCCAAACCCGGGAAUGAAAAGACCGGGGCAAGCGCCGGACUGGUUAGACUGGAAAAACCGUCUAGCAACAGGAAAGCGUGAUGCGUACCGAACAAAAGUAGGGAAGUUGGUAUAGGGGCUGUCAAGAAAAGCCGCUAUUGUGUAAUACGUGCCCGUACCGUAAACCGACACAGGUGGAUGAGGAGAGAAUCCUAAGGCCGGCGGGAGAAGCAUUGUUAAGGAACUCGGCAAAAUGACCCUGUAACUUCGGGAUAAAGGGUGCCCACGAGAGUGGGCCGCAGAGAAUAGGCUCAAGCAACUGUUUAGCAAAAACACAGGUCUAUGCAAAACCGAAAGGUGAGGUAUAUGGGCUGACGCCUGCCCGGUGCUGGAAGGUUAAGAGGAGAGGUUAGAGCAAUCGAAGCUUUGAAUUUAAGCCCCAGUAAACGGCGGCCGUAACUAUAACGGUCCUAAGGUAGCGAAAUUCCUUGUCGGGUAAGUUCCGACCCGCACGAAAGGCGUAAUGAUUUGAGCGCUGUCUCGACAAUGCACCCGGUGAAAUUGAAGUACCAGUGAAGAUGCUGGUUACCUGCGCCAGGACGGAAAGACCCCAUGGAGCUUUACUCCAGCUUGAUACUGGGAUUCGGUGUCGCAUGUACAGGAUAGGUGGGAGGCAAUGAAGGCAGGACGCCAGUCUUGCCGGAGCCAUUGUUGGGAUACCACCCUUGCGAUAUUGGGUUUCUAACCUGCGGCCAUGACCUGGCCGGGGGACAAUGUCAGGUGGGGAGUUUGACUGGGGCGGUCGCCUCCGAAAGAGUAUCGGAGGCGCUCAAAGGUUCCCUCAGAAUGGACGGAAACCAUUCGAAGAGUGCAAAGGCAUAAGGGAGCUUGACUGCGAGACUGACGGNNNNNNNNNNGGAAACCAUUCGAAGAGUGCAAAGGCAUAAGGGAGCUUGACUGCGAGACUGACGGGUCGAGCAGGUACGAAAGUAGGACUUAGUGAUCCGGUGGUAUAAAGUGGGAUUGCCAUCGCUCAACGGAUAAAAGCUACCCUGGGGAUAACAGGCUUAUCACUCCCAAGAGUUCACAUCGACGGAGUGGUUUGGCACCUCGAUGUCGGCUCAUCGCAUCCUGGGGCUGAAGUAGGUCCCAAGGGUUGGGCUGUUCGCCCAUUAAAGCGGUACGCGAGCUGGGUUCAGAACGUCGUGAGACAGUUCGGUCCCUAUCCGGCGUGGGCGUAGGAUAUUUGAGAGGAGCUGUCCUUAGUACGAGAGGACCGGGAUGGACUGACCUCUGGUGUACCGGUUGGGUAUCAAACCCAUGGCCGGGUAGCCAAGUCGGGAAGGGAUAAACGCUGAAGGCAUCUAAGCGUGAAGCCCCCCUCAAGAUGAGAUAUCCCAUCGCAAGAGUAAGACCCCUUGAAGACGACGAGGUAGAUAGGGCAGAGGUGGAAGCAUGGCAACAUGUGUAGCUGACUGUCACUAAUAGGUCGAGGGCUUAACCAA